UACGGGGGGGGUAAGCGUUGUUCGGAAUUACUGGGCGUAAAGGGCUCGUAGGCGGCCAACUAAGUCAUACGUGAAAUCCCUCAGCUUAACUGGGGAACUGCGUCUGAUACUGGCGGGCUUGAGGACAGGAGAGGAACGCGGAAUUCCAGGUGUAGCGGUGAAAUGCGUAGAUAUCGGGAGGAACACCAGUGGCGAAGGCGGCUUCCUGGCCUGUUCUUGACGCUGAGGCGCGAAAGCUAGGGGAGCAAACGGG
rnacentral:rRNA from 1 species